rnacentral:rRNA from 1 species
GACGAACGCUGGCGGCGUGCUUAACACAUGCAAGUCGAACGGAAAGGCCCUGCUUUUGUGGGGUGCUCGAGUGGCGAACGGGUGAGUAACACGUGAGUAACCUGCCCUUGACUUUGGGAUACUUCAGGAAACUGGGGCUAAUACCGGCUAGUAGCUCCUUCUGCAUGGUGGUGGUUGGAAAGUUUCGGCGGUUGGUGAUGGACUCGCGGCUUAUCAGCUUGUUUGUGUGGUAGUGGCUUACCAAGGCUUUGACGGGUAGCCGGCCUGAGAGGGUGACCGGCCACAUUGGGACUGAGAUACGGACCAGAAUCCAACGGGAGGCAGCAGUGGGGAAUAUUGCACAAUGGGCGGAAGCCAGAUGCAGAAAGGCCGCGUGCGGGACGACGGCCUUCGGGUUGUAAACCGCUUUCGAAUGUGACGAAGCGUGAGUGACGGUAAUGGGUAAAGAAGCACCGGCUAACUACGUG